rnacentral:rRNA from 1 species
UGGGGAAUAUUGCACAAUGGGGGAAACCCUGAUGCAGCGACGCCGCGUGAGUGAAGAAGUAUUUCGGUAUGUAAAGCUCUAUCAGCAGGGAAGAAAAUGACGGUACCUGACUAAGAAGCCCCGGCUAACUACGUGCCAGCAGCCGCGGUAAUACGUAGGGGGCAAGCGUUAUCCGGAUUUACUGGGUGUAAAGGGAGCGUAGACGGCAAGGCAAGUCUGAAGUGAAAGCCCGGGGCUUAACCGUGGGACUGCUUUGGAAACUGUCUGGCUGGAGUGCCGGAGAGGUAAGCGGAAUUCCUAGUGUAGCGGUGAAAUGCGUAGAUAUUAGGAGGAACACCAGUGGCGAAGGCGGCUUACUGGACGGUAACUGACGUUGAGGCUCGAAAGCGUGGGGAGCAAACA